UUCUGAGAUGUCUGCGGCCAAUUUAUCAAGACAAGAGCGAAAAAGUACUCUGUGGAAGCAUCUGCUAAGAUGUGUGAGGCCUUCGGCAUGCCUGUCAGGGAUCAAUACAAACCCUGGGCACCUCAUUUCACCUGCGAGCAAUACAAAAAACUCUGGAAGGAUGGUACAGAGGGGAAAAGAGAGCCAUGAAUUUCGCUAUCCCAAGAAUUUGGCGGGAACCCACUGACCACGCAAGCAACUGCUACUUCUGCAUGGUGGACCCUUCCAAACGUCGGACUGGCAAGAAUGCACCUACCAUCACGUAUUCGGACCUUCCUUCACCCAUCGCCCCGGUGCCACACUGCCAUGAGCUCCCCGUACCCACUCCUCCGGAGAGAGAGCAGCCGUCUUUAUAAGAGAGCAGCAAGUCUGAGAGCAACGAAGACGUUGUAGAUCCAGAUGACAAUUUCAGAAGUGGAGCUGAGGAGAGAAACCCAUACUACUCCAACCAAAAAUAACUCAACGACUUGAUCAGAUAUCUUGGUCUCACCAAGUCGAAUGCCGAGCUUUUGACGUCUCGGCUCAAGCAGUGGAACUUGUUUAAUGAAAGUGUGCAAGUCGCAGAUUAGAGGAAGCGUCACCAACCUUUUUGCAGCUUCUUCACCCGUCAAGAUGGGCUCUGCUUCUGCCACAAUGUGACCGGUCUGUUCGAGGCAAUCGGAAUCGCCUGUAACCAGAAUGAGUGGCGCCUCUUCCUUGACAGCUCAUCCAGGAGCCUCAAAGCCGUGCUGCUCCAUAAUGGUAACAAGUACCUGUCUCUUCCCCUAGCUCACUCGAUGCACCUCAAAGAGGAUUACAACAGCAUUAAGACCUUGCUGGAUCCCUUGAAGUAUGAUGAGUACGGCUGGGUGGUCAUCGGAGACUUCAAAAUGGUGGCAUUCCUGGUGGGUCUCCAAGUCGGUUUUACCAAGUUUCCCUGCUAUCUUUGCCUUUGGGACAGCAGGCACACCAAGGCGCAUUACCACAGGCGGGACUGGCCACAGCGGACCGAGUUCUCUGUGGGGGGAAACAACGUCAAGUGGGAGCCACCGGUGGAUCCCCGGAAGGUGCUGAUGCCACCACUGCACAUCAAAUUGGGCAUUAUGAAACAAUUUGUCAGAGCUGUAGAUAAGGAGUUGGCAGCCAUUAAGUAGCUUCAAGACUUCUUCUCUAAGCUGUCUGAGGCAAAGGUCAAAGCAGGUGUCUUCGUCGGACCACAGAAAAAGUAAGAUCCUGGAGUGCAAUGAAUUCCCCAAGAAGCUCACUAGUAAGGAGAAAGAGGCUUGGAACAGCUUUGUCGCAGUGGUUCGUGGCUUCCUGGGCAAUCACAUGGUCAAAAAGUAUGUGGAGCUGGUUGAGCCUCUGGUGAAGAACUACGGCACAAUGGGCUGUAGGAUGUCCCUCAAAGUCCAUAUCAUUGAUGCUUAGCUUGAUAAAUUCAAGAAAAUGGGAGCGUACUCUGAGGAGCAAGGCGAGCGCUUCCACUGGGAUAUACUGGACUUUGAAUGCCGAUACCAAGGAUAGUAUAACGAGAACAUGAUGGGAGACUACAUUUGGGGACUGAUUCGUGAAAGUGAUUUACAGUAUAAUCGUAAAUCUCGAAAAACUACUCACUUCUAAAUCUUUUGUAGUAAUUUUUGUAUUACUUUAGUAUAAAUACAUGUUAAUUUUGAUUCAUAUGUUGUUGUUUUUUUACUUUAUGUUAAUGAAAAGACACAAAUUUGCCUGUUUUCUCAUUGAAAAUAUGUACAUUUCAAAAUAGCACUAUCCUGGUCACAAAAGCAAAGUUUGUGGAGAAUAAUAGCCAUUUUAUAUACUUUUUAGGCAUAAGCAAUUCCGAAAUAACACUUACUACCUAGGAACAAAAAAUGUUACAUAGUGUUAUAAAGUGUUAUUUAACCCGAUGGUACUUGUUAAUAAAGACGUGCCUCCAACUCU